AUUGAACGCUGGCGGCAGGCCUAACACAUGCAAGUCGAACGAGUGGCGGACGGGUGAGUAAUGUCUGGGAAACUGCCUGAUGGAGGGGGAUAACUACUGGAAACGGUAGCUAAUACCGCAUACCAUCGGAUGUGCCCCGAUGGGAUUAGCUAGUAGGUGGGGUAAAGGCUCACCUGGGCGCCGAUCCCUGGCUGGUCUGAGAGGAGUACCAGCCACACUGGAACUGCGACACGGGCCAGACUCCUACGGGAGGCAGGAGUGGGGAAUAUUGCACAAUGGGCGCAAGCCUGAUGCGGCCAUGCCGCGUGUAUGAAGAAGGCCUUCGGGUUGUUAAGUACUUUCAGCGGGGAGGCGUUACCCGCAGAAGAAGCACCGGCUAACUACGUGCCAGCCGCCGCGGUAAUAC
rnacentral:rRNA from 1 species